rnacentral:rRNA from 1 species
UAUCUCUGUAGAGUCUGCAUAUCAAUAAGCGGAGGAAAAGAAACUAACUAGGAUUCCCUUAGUAACGGCGAGUGAAGCGGGAAGAGCUCAAAUUUGAAAUCUUCAAGGUUCUACCUUGACGAAUUGUAGUUUAAAGAAGUGUUUUCUGUUGAAGUUUUGGUAAAAGUUCUUUGGAAUAGGACAUCAUAGAGGGUGAGAAUCCCGUAUUUGACCAUUAUUUUCAGCUGUGUGAUACACUUUCAAAGAGUCGGAUUGUUUGGGAAUGCAGUCCAAAAUGGGUGGUAAAUUUCAUCUAAAGCUAAAUACUGGCGAGAGACCGAUAGCGAACAAGUACCGUGAGGGAAAGAUGAAAAGAACUUUGAAAAGGAGAGUUAAACAGUACGUGAAAUUGUCAAAAGGGAAGCGUUUGACACCAGUGUUGUUUUCUCGAAAAUCAAUUAAAAAAGGCAGGAUUUUGUGUUGUAUUGACUUUAUCAGCUUUCCGCACUCUUUUCUUGUCUUUUUUUAAUGCACUUUUCGUUUAACAAGUCAACAUCAAUUUCUUUUGUUGUAAAAGGGUCAUUGGAAGGUGGCUUUCUUUUCGGAGAAAGUGUUUAUAGCCUUUGGCCUCUGCAAUCGGAGAGAUUGAGGUCUGCAGCGUAGAUCCUUCGGGGUUAGAUACAUUUGUGCUAAGUUAUAGCCUUUCAUAGACAACUUGUUGACUAUGAUCAGUCAUGUAGCUUACUCGCUUAUGCUAUUUUACCUACGCUUAGGAUGUUGAAGAUGUAGCACAUCAU